GUGGCUCAGUGGUAGAGUGCUUGCCUUGCAUGCAUGAGGUCCUGGGUUCCAUUCCUCAGC
rfam:Dipodomys ordii contig_13431, whole genome shotgun sequence.